UACGGAGGGUGCAAGCGUUAUCCGGAUUUACUGGGUUUAAAGGGUGCGUAGGUGGGUUGGUAAGUCAGUGGUGAAAUACUUUCGCUUAACGAAGGAACUGCCAUUGAUACUAUCAAUCUUGAAUGUAGUGGAGGAAGGCGGAAUGCGUCAUGUAGCGGUGAAAUGCUUAGAUAUGACGCAGAACACCAAUUGCGAAGGCAGCUUGCUACACUACUAUUGACACUGAGGCACGAAAGCGUGGGGAUCAAACAGG
rnacentral:rRNA from 1 species